AGCUCCAAUAGCGUAUAUUUAAGUUGUUGCAGUUAAAAAGCUCGUAGUUGGAUUUCGGUUGAGAACGGCCGGUCCGCCGUUUGGUGUGCACUGGCUGGUUUCAACUUCCUGUAGAGGACGCGCUCUGGCUUCAUCGCUGGACGCGGAGUCUACGUGGUUACUUUGAAAAAAUUAGAGUGUUCAAAGCGGGCUUACGCUUGAAUAUUUCAGCAUGGAAUAACACUAUAGGACUCCUGUCCUAUUUCGUUGGUCUCGGGACGGGAGUAAUGAUUAAGAGGAACAGUUGGGGGCAUUCGUAUUUCAUUGUCAGAGGUGAAAUUCUUGGAUUUAUGAAAGACGAACUUCUGCGAAAGCAUUUGCCAAGGAUGUUUUCAUUA
rnacentral:rRNA from 1 species